GAUUGGUUCUAUUGGACCUUACCAGAACGACGUCCAAUCCUCGAAUCUCAAAAUUGAGAACCAGUCCUCAUGGUUCAGUUUCCGAUUCCACUUUGAAAUCAGACCGGAUCAGGAGCCGAUCAUCCCAACCAGACGCCUGCAGCUGCAGAGCCACUUGCCCUAAUCGCUUGACUGAAAAGCCCCUCUCAAAGACCCCCGCCCGCCCACGCCAUCCUAUCGACAGCCUCUUGUAAAUUUAAUCAAGACGGCUCCCGGCAGAGUCGCGGAGGCGAUGGCCAUGGGAAUCUCCACCGCACAGAACGCUCCCUUGGGGCCGUACUGUCCCUCCUCUCUCUCCUUUGUUGCGGUCCCGCUCCCGGUUCCUGCUCAGGGGGUCGCCCGGUACUCGUUUGCUCUGGGUCAGAGCCGAGACGGUUCCAAGGCCUCUGCUUUUCUUUCGAUACAGUCUCUGUUAUGAGAAGUUCCGUUUGGCUGUUUGUUUUCGCUGUACCUGUAGCUGAUUGGAUCGCUAAAAGGCCAGUGUUUGGUGUUUCUGUGCAUAAAGUCCGUGUCUUUGUGUGAAUGUGUGUGUUCGGCACUGGCACUUGGGUGUUUGCUGGGUUAUCAUCUCAUAGUUGCCGUUGUUGUGCUUUCGCGGUUGCAACUUUGGCGGAAAUUGUUGCUAGUUCACUCGUGCGCGCGCGCGUAUUGUAGUUUUGUGGCGAUUUUUGGCCUGGAAAUUUUAGGAUGACAGGACAGUGUGGUUCUUGCUGUGCUGUUGGAUUUGAGGUUCUCGGGGCGAAGUAGAUGUAUGUGGGAGGAAAUUGCGGAUCUGCGUUCUCUUUCUCGUAUCCACACUGCAAGUUGGCUUGUGCAAUCUUGAGUGAAAUGCUAGAGUAUUCAAAGUAUUUUAGGCAGGCAGGAGAACUUUUGAGGACAUGCUUGGAGCAGUCAUCCCAGUGGAUUGGUAAUUAAGUUGUUUCUUUUUUAUAACUAUAACCCAGCUGCUUUGAUAGUCAAGCAAAAGAAGAAAAUAAGAAAAUUGAAGGGACCUAAUAAGAGAAGGAAAAUCUGGAUGGCCGGUGGUAGGGAUUUUUCUGCUCAAGAAAACAACACAUGCAUAUCAGGAACACAGAUCAUAAAUACGGAAAAUAUUGCUGGCUUUUGUACAGAUUGGCAGUAUUGGCAGUUAUGUAUUAAUAUAUUUGCAUUGGUGACUAGAGGCUCCGCAAUCUAACUUGCCUGCGAAGUCAAUGUGCUCAAACCACCCAAUUGAGGACAAACUCAGGAGAAGAAUGGCUCUGAGAAAGAGUGAGGAAGUAUGGACCAAUCUCAAAGCUCACUCUCUUUGGCAAACCAACGGUGUUCAUUCAUGGACCAUCAGCAAACAAGUUUAUAUUCUAUGGAGACAGCAGCAUGCUUGCCAACAAGUAGCCAUCAUCCAUCCGCGUGAUCUUGGGAGACUUUGUUUGAACUCAGUGACCAAGAUCACAGACAUGUGAGAGAGUCCAUCAUGUCGUUCUUGAGACCAGAAUUGCUGAAGCAAUACAUGGGAAAAAUAGUUGAAGAGUCCGGAAGCACAUCCAGUUGCACUGGCAGGGAACGGAAAAAGUUGCGGCAUCGCCCCUGAUGAAAAUCCUUACAUUCAACAUCAUAUGCUCUCUUCUCUUUGGUAUGGAGGAAGGAGCUGAAAGAGAGAAAUUCUUGGAAAACUUUCAAGAAAUGGUAGAGGAAAUGUGGUUCAUACUAGUGAACUUGCCAUUCACGUGCUACAAUUGGAGCCUCUAUGCAAGCUCCAGGGUCCAAGAUAUGUUGAAGGAACUUGUACAAGAGAAGAAGGUGAAACUAGCACAGCACGCUGCAACCCCUCAUCAGGACUUAAUCAUGUGCUUCUGAAGUAAGCACAAUGAAGAAAAUGAACAAGUUGUGACUGAUAAGGAAAUUCUGCACAUCACGCUUGUCAUGAUUGCUAGACAUGAUACCUCAUCCGUACUUAUAACUUUUGUGCUGCGUCUUCUAUACAAAAAUCCUACUAUUUAUAAA